UCUAUACUAUAGAGUUUGAUCAUGGCUCAGAUUGAACGCUGGCGGCAUGCCUUACACAUGCAAGUCGAACGGCAGCACGGGGGUAACCCUGGUGGCGAGUGGCGAACGGGUGAGUAAUACAUCGGAAUGUGUCCUGUAGUGGGGGAUAGCCCGGCGAAAGCCGGAUUAAUACCGCAUACGAUCUAGGGAUGAAAGCGGGGGACCUUCGGGCCUCGCGCUAUAGGGGCGGCCGAUGGCGGAUUAGCUAGUUGGUGGGGUAAAGGCCUACCAAGGCGACGAUCCGUAGCUGGUCUGAGAGGACGACCAGCCACACUGGGACUGAGACACGGCCCAGACUCCUACGGGAGGCAGCAGUGGGGAAUUUUGGACAAUGGGCGAAAGCCUGAUCCAGCAAUGCCGCGUGUGUGAAGAAGGCCUUCGGGUUGUAAAGCACUUUUGUCCGGAAAGAAAACGUUCGCACUAAUACUGUGGGCGGAUGACGGUACCGGAAGAAUAAGCAC
rnacentral:rRNA from 1 species